GAUGAAGAACGUAGCGAAAUGCGAUACGUAGUGUGAAUUGCAGAAUUCAGUGAAUCAUCGAAUCUUUGAACGCACAUUGCGCCCUUUGGUAUUCCAAAGGGCAUGCCUGUUCGAGCGUCAUUUGUACCCUCAAGCUUUGCUUGGUGUUGGGCGUCUUGUCUCCAGUCCGCUGGAGACUCGCCUUAAUGUCAUUGGCAGCCGGCCUACUGGUUUCGGAGCGCAGCACAAGUCGCACUCUUUUCCAGCCAAGGUCAGUGUCCAACAAGCCUUUUUUCAACUUUUGACCUCGGAUCAGGUAGGGAUACCCGCUGAACUUAAGCAUAUCAAUAAGCGGAGGA
rnacentral:misc_RNA from 1 species